rnacentral:lncRNA from 1 species
CAGAGGUAUUUCUUAGUAGAUAAGAACAUUAUUUACACCCAGCCUUAGAAAGGAAAGAAGAGGUUGUCAGUGAGCUACAACCUUUAUUGUACCUGUUAUCGUUUGCAUGGCAAAGGCGCUUCACCGUGCUCAGACCCCAUCCUGAAGGGCCAAGGAUGUUGUGGGGCCUGCACUGCCUGCCUUAGCUCUGAGCUCUGAAAGGGCUGGAGAUGUGCACCAGAGCUGGGGGAGGGAGGGCCAGAAGGACAAAGUACAGCUUUAUUCUCCAGCUGCUUUCUGAUAUCAUGAAGGUAACCAGGAGGGAAGUCUGUAUGAAAUGCUCCUUUCCAAUGGCAGAUUCCCCUGUCUGCACCAUUCCCUGGACAGAACCACUUGGACAAUCAAACCAAGAGCAAGGAUCCUGCAAACAGCACUGCUUUCUCACCAUCUCCUCAUGAACUGAGCAGCCAUCUGAUUCUGCCUGGCUCAUGCAUCUUGAAUUCCUGCAAACUUGUGAGGAGUUUUCCGAGCAUUGAAAAAAUCAAACCAAACCAAACCAAACCACCAAGAAAAGGAGACAGUAAUGAAGAGUAAGCUGAUUUUUUGUCCUGAUGUUCUCCGCCAGGUAAGAUAUACCACUAGGAGCUGGCAAGGCUGUGGGCUGCAUAUAAAAAGAUCAGCAUC